rnacentral:rRNA from 1 species
UACGGAGGGGGCUAGCGUUAUUCGGAAUUACUGGGCGUAAAGCGCACGUAGGCGGCUUUGUAAGUUAGAGGUGAAAGCCCGGGGCUCAACUCCGGAAUUGCCUUUAAGACUGCAUAGCUAGAAUUGUGGAGAGGUAAGUGGAAUUCCGAGUGUAGAGGUGAAAUUCGUAGAUAUUCGGAAGAACACCAGUGGCGAAGGCGACUUACUGGACAAAUAUUGACGCUGAGGUGCGAAAGCGUGGGGAGCAAACAGG